GGAAGAGGAGGAUUCAAGUGCUGGGAGCAGCCAAGCAAAGCAGCAUGUCCCUGGCAUAGGAGGAGCGGAGGACAUGCCUUCUGCAGGGAUUAGGCAGAGCUGCUGGAAGUGAAGCCUGAAAACCGGCAGAACGGAAGCUUGGAAACCGAGCCCUGGGCUGGAGCGGAAACAAAUGAGAAUGUAAGAAAGAGAGUGAAGGUGUUCAAAUGCUGUUCAUUUAGUUAAUGACUCAAAACUAAAGAAGAAUCAACUUAUAUGAAGAGAGGAAAUUAAGAGAUCUCCUGCAGCACAUAGAUGGGUUUUGCAACUUUGGAGGAAUUUUUGCAGGUAUUUGGAGGGGUUGAUGCUUUCUGUUUGCUUAUUUGAAUAUUAGCUUUAAUAUUGGACAGCUUUACAUUUUCUUAUGGUGACUUGGUCUCAAAGUUAUGUCAGAAAGUCUCAUACACAGGAAACACCUCAGAAAAUUUCCCACUUGUAUAUGUUGUACUGACAAAUAUGCUAUAAACUUCAUUAUGUGGGGACCUUAAUCAGGCAGAACUUUUGCAUUUCUAAAUUUGUGCUUGUUUUUGAUACAAACGAAAUAGCUCUUCUCCUCAGUUAGCCUCUCAACACUUCUUAGUCCCACCAAGCUUUUAUUGUCAUUCUUCUCUCUCCAACAUGAUACACAUACUUAGCCCAGCUUGGUAGCAUUUCUGUUGGAUUGAGAAAAGUCUGACAGCAUCUUUGGCUUUCCUAAUUGAGCUAAAGAAACACAGCAUGCCAGGUACUCCUCAGAGCAGAGGAU